GACGAACGCUGGCGGCGUGCUUAACACAUGCAAGUCGAACGGAAAGGCCCUGCUUUUGUGGUGUGCUCGAGUGGCGAACGGGUGAGUAACACGUGAGUAACCUGCCCUUGACUUUGGGAUAACUUCAGGAAACUGGGGCUAAUACCGGAUAGGAGCUCCUGCUGCAUGGUGGGGGUUGGAAAGUUUCGGCGGUUGGGGAUGGACUGGCGGCUUAUCAGCUUGUUGGUGGGGUAGUGGCUUACCAAGGCUUUGACGGGUAGCCGGCCUGAGAGGGUGACCGGCCACAUUGGGACUGAGAUACGGCCCAGACUCCUACGGGAGGCAGCAGUGGGGAAUAUUGCACAAUGGGCGGAAGCCUGAUGCAGCAACGCCGCGUGCGGGAUGACGGCCUUCGGGUUGUAAACCGCUUUCGCCUGUGACGAAGCGUGAGUGACGGUAAUGGGUAAAGAAGCACCGGCUAACUACGUG
rnacentral:rRNA from 1 species